AAGUGGGUCCUCCAGGUCUGUCUAGGGAGGCCUCUUGAAAGCAGCCAAUCAGAGCCCAUCAGACUCAGAUAAAAGGAGCUGCAGGGCCUUAGCAGGUCAGUUCCUGGCAGGAACUGGAAGGGCAAAAAGGAGUGCUGCUCUCUGGCCACAGAAAUUCAGGGGAUAGCCAGAGUUUGAUUCUGGCAACAUUUGCUUAAACUUGGUUUGCAGGAAGAGAGUCCCUAAGAACUUUAACCCUGAGGUGAAAGUAGCCGUUAAGAAGAAGCCCAGAGAAGAAGCAACAGUGAACUGAAAUCAAGCAGUGCCUAGCUACUGUUUUUAGGGUUCAUGGGUUGGAACCCAGAGUAAUGGGCAGGCCCAGGUUCCCCUACCAUCCACAGUGGCAAAAGCCCCACAAAGGGGACAAUGCUUAUGUAGAGCUCGAACAAAGGGCAGAAUUUAAAGGGCCCGGAGUUGGGGCUGAAGACCCUAGUGAGGGCAAUGGGACUAUUCUUUAGUACCCCAGAAUGGGUUCAUUUGGACUUUGGGACUUGGCCAGAGGGCUGAGCCACGGAAGACUCACUGAGGUUGGCUGGCAGGGUGCACCAGGGGUGAGAAAAGGACUGUGGUACCAUACCCAACCACUAAGAGGCUCUCAAAAGGAAUGCAGAGCUACCUCUGUGUCCUGUUUUUGGGACUGAAGAGGUUCCAAGCUGCAGUUAAUGAGCACCUUGGUGGCACAGCCAAGCUGAUGCCUGAAGGGCUCCAGGUGGACAUUUGCAGACACCUUGUGAGUGAGCUGUAGAACUAUGAGAUAUUGACUGCAGUGGCUUGUGGUGGUGUAGAGGUGUGGGGGGGAGUGAUAUGUGAUGGGUAAUGUAAGUAACUGUAAGAGUAGGAUAUCUGACUGAGGGUGAUUGGGAAAUGUAAAUCUACCACAGAUUCCCACUUUUCCCACUUCUACCCAGCCACCUGUUCUUUUUUUUUUUUAUUUACCUGUGGUGCAUAAAAGCAUGUGUUGGCUGUCAAAGCGCACUUCUAGCCGGAGAGAGCUCAUGUGUCCCUGAUUUCCUGUAGGCCAAAGAGAAUGCAGAGCUGCUGGAGAACAUGUACAAAACCACCAUCACGUACUUUUGUAGCAGCUGGGAAGAGAUCCGGGCAACUGUAGCCAAGUUAACUGGUGAGAGAUGACGCCCAGUGUCCCUUUUGGUAUUCCUAUUGAGGGAGACAGAAAAAAUCGCUCUGUGCAUCACUGAGCUGCCAUUAAUCUCUCUGUGCCUCAGCUUCCCAUGCAUAUAUGGAGAUAUUAAUAUCCCUACCUCUCCAGCGUGGUGGUAGGGGGAAUUCAUUAAUUGCUAUAAAGUGCUUCGGGAUUGUUGCAGGGAAAGCAUGGUGCAGUCAUUUAGUAGUAGAGGCUGAGACACUGUCACAUAGGGUAUGUUUACACUUUGAGCUGGGGGUAUAAUUCCCAGCUUGAUGAGACAUACCUGCAUUAGCCAUGAGUGCUAAAAAUAGAGAGUAGCCGCAAUAGCAGGAGCAGCAGGAGGGACUAACCACCCCAAGUAUGAUCCCAUCCAAACCCCAAAGUCUAUUCUCAAGGUGGUUAGCUUCUCCCACUGCUUGUUGUGCCUUAGCUACAUUCUAUUUUUAGCAUGCUAGCUCAGUCAGAGCUAGUGUGGGUGUGUCCCAUUGAGCUGGGAAUGAUACCCCUACCUCAAGGUGCAGACUUACCCACAGCAUUGUUCAGUGCUCCUUACUGCUACUUCACCAUUGGGAGGCAUGCAGCCCACCUCCCCAUAGUGCCUGCUAUUUCAGGUUCCUGGCCACACCACCUUGUCAAGGAAGCAUUAGGUUCCUUCUCUUUGGCCCUGUGCCCUCUUCUCCCUAGCAUGCCCAUGUGAGACAGGCAGGCGUUGUGGCCUAAGUCAUCUAUCAGUCACCUUGUGAGAUCCCCGCUUAGAACUCACUUAUUCCUGGCUCCAGUCCUUUGCUCAGACCACUAGACCAGGACGCUAUCCUAGUAUGUCUCCAAUAACUGACAGCAGUGGCAAGAGGAACACAGACUGUUUAAAGCAAAUGGGUUUUAUGUAAACAUUCUUUUUAAAAAGUGUCUCUCUUAUUCUCUUCAGUGUGGACUCUGAACUGCUCUAGCAUCCUCUUGUCCACAGCUCAUCCUUAGGCCCACAGUAGAAGAAGCCAAAGACCUGUCUAGGAGCUGCUAAUAUCACUGUGCACUCAGCAAGGGAAGGUUUUGUUGUUGUUGUUGGUUGUUUUACAUUGUGUAUUUAGGCAUCAUCCUGGAACACACGGACACACAGCAUAUGAAAUGGCUGGACCUGGAACAACUGCUGAUCUCUAUUUCAGGCAUAGAUAACUAUGAAAAGUGAGCCAUAUUCAUCUCUCAUGUAUUUUCCAUCCCAAUAUAAGGACUGAGACCGGUUUCACAUUUUUCCAUGUGAUCAUUCUGCUCAACUCUCCAGGUCCUACAGAAAGACCCAAGUCCCACUGUCCAGCUGGUGGCAACUCAGGUCCUAUGUGACAUCUCUCCUGGCAGAAUGCUUGGGGAAUGAAGCGGAAAGGAGACAAAGAGAACAACGCUUUCCCUCUAGCCAAAAUCGGAACGAGAGAGAGGCAACUAUAAUACUGGCCAGUAUUAGCUGUUGUCAUACUGCUCAGAUGCCGUGCUGGCUUUGUAUCUCACAAACAAGGUCCUAUGCAAAUAACCCAGCCCCAGCUUUUGUAUUUACUGUGCACACAUUUCCUACUAAACUGUUUUGAAGUAUCUGUUUCAAUUGCUCAGAGGCCUGAUUUCUUCUUUCAGAGAAAUUUGUGGCUUCCUGCAUGUCCACUGUAACCAGGAUGUAGGCACUUCCUCCCUUGCCCUCUCUCCAUGGAGAUGGAAGAAGACUUCAGCCCAGUGCCUCUCUGGGGUUGCUAACCACUCUUCCGAGAUCCACACAAAGCUAGAUCUAAUCCCUAUAGUUAGUGAUCUGGGGUCUGGUUCUUAAUCAUAUCCUCUUCGUCUUUCUGGGAAUUCAGUAUUGCUGAUGAAUUCUGGGUUGUAAGUGGAAUGGACUGUGUUCUGGUGAGUUACCCUCCCCCCUGUCUAGCCUAUUUCUGGGUCAGAAGGCUAUCUGUGAACUGUGUCUGUUUACUUACAGACUUAGGAUAGGUGUCAGAGUGGUAGCCGUGUUAGUCUGUA